UUGAGUUUGAUCAUGGCUCAGAUUGAACGCUGGCGGCAGGCCUAACACAUGCAAGUCGAGCGGAAACGAUGGAAGCUUGCUUCCAGGCGUCGAGCGGCGGACGGGUGAGUAAUGCAUGGGAAUCUGCCCGAUAGUGGGGGAUAACCUGGGGAAACCCAGGCUAAUACCGCAUACGUCCUACGGGAGAAAGCAGGGGAUCUUCGGACCUUGCGCUAUCGGAUGAGCCCAUGUCGGAUUAGCUUGUUGGUGAGGUAAUGGCUCACCAAGGCGACGAUCCGUAGCUGGUCUGAGAGGAUGAUCAGCCACAUCGGGACUGAGACACGGCCCGAACUCCUACGGGAGGCAGCAGUGGGGAAUAUUGGACAAUGGGCGAAAGCCUGAUCCAGCCAUGCCGCGUGUGUGAAGAAGGCCCUCGGGUUGUAAAGCACUUUCAGUGGGGAAGAAACGCCUUGGGAUUAAUACUACCC
rnacentral:rRNA from 1 species